rnacentral:lncRNA from 1 species
AAGCACAUACCAGAAAGAAGUACAUAUUUAACACAAAAUAGUUCCUACGCAUAAGUGUAACUUUCAAAAUAUGUAGAAUAUUUAGGUAUUUUUGGUAUGAAAUGAAAGUUGAAGGACUGGUGAUCAUUGUAGAACACUUUUGGACUUUUAAUCAUGAAUAUUAAAAAAAACUGCAUCAAAUUUUAAAAAGAGGGUUCAUUUUGUCUGUUUGUCAGAUUUGAAGUACCUGUUUUGGUACAUCCGAAGUUCCGGGAACCAGUUCUU